AUUGAACGCUGGCGGCAGGCCUAACACAUGCAAGUCGAACGGUAACAGGAAACAGCUUGCUGUUUCGCUGACGAGUGGCGGACGGGUGAGGAAUGUCUGGGAAACUGCCUGAUGGAGGGGGAUAACUACUGGAAACGGUAGCUAAUACCGCAUAACGUCGCAAGACCAAAGAGGGGGACCUUCGGGCCUCCUGCCAUCGGAUGUGCCCAGAUGGGAUUAGCUAGUAGGUGGGGUAACGGCUCACCUAGGCGACGAUCCCUAGCUGGUCUGAGAGGAUGACCAGCCACACUGGAACUGAGACACGGUCCAGACUCCUACGGGAGGCAGCAGUGGGGAAUAUUGCACAAUGGGCGCAAGCCUGAUGCAGCCAUGCCGCGUGUAUGAAGAAGGCCUUCGGGUUGUAAAGUACUUUCAGCGGGGAGGAAGGGCGUAAAGUUAAUACCUUUGCUCAUUGACGUUACCCGCAGAAGAAGCACCGGCUAACUCCGUGCCAGCAGCCGCCGUAA
rnacentral:rRNA from 1 species